UUUUCUUCAAUGGCUAAAACCUUCAUUUCCUUCCUCUCUAACCUUUUUGCUCAACCCAUUUCUAAACUUGAUUUUCAACCUUUCAUUACUUUAUUUUACUGUGGAUUUCUUUAGCAUGGUGGAGUCCUCUUGUUUACUUUCCUUGAUGAUUUUUAUUCUUGUUCAAUCAAAUUCCAGCAAGUUUUUAGGGGAAUGAAAGUUGUGUUGAACUUGUGGAAAGUUUCGAGUUCAAGAACGGUAAUAUUUUGGGUAGUUUCAGCAUUCUACGCUAUAUUUUUGAAACAUAUUUUUUGCUAUGUUUUGGGCACUUAAGGGACAUGUUUUAUGGUUUCUAAGGUGUUAUUUGGGUCUAUAAUGGAGUAAAAUUGGUGCACUAUUGUUUGGUGUUUGUUUGGCGUAAGAUUCGAUCGAUUCUAUGUGGUAAAACCGAUAGAGGUGAGUGGUUGCAGGUUCUUUUAUAAUGAGCAUUGGUGAUAUUAAUUGAAGAUUAUAAUGGUAAGUAUUUAGCGAAUCUAAUAGUAAGUUACUACUCUGUUUUGGCAUUCGUUUCAUUUAUGUAAACAUUUUAUGACGAAGAAUGAGCAUGAUUGCACAUAAGCAUGAUGUUAACUUGUGAUGCGUAUAUGAUUUUGCAAGUUAUUUUAUAAUCUAUUAUGAAUUUAGUUCUGGACAAGAAAAGACACUUUUCUAUCCAAGAAUGAGUUGAGACAGUUUCAUUAUUCUAUUUGGGUUGAUCAUGACAAGCAUCUUAGUUUGAAAACUAUGUUUUGAAAAUGCAUAAGUAUAUGUAAAUGCUAUGCAUCACUUGGAAACUAUUUAUGGUAAACCUGACUUAAUUGGCAAUUGUUCUUAAUAGGCCUUUGGAUUUUAAAGGCAUGCUUAGGAAUAAGUACUCAAUGUUUUAAAAAUGUGAUUGCAAGGGAUAUGAGGUUUGGUUGGUACAUUGAGCUUUGCUCCGAGAAGUACAUGAAGUAGGGUUGGUGCGUUGAGCUUCGCUCCGAGAUAUAGAAGUUGGGACGUAAGUUAGUCCAAAUAAAAUGAGUUUUAUGGAGUCCAUUUAUCCAUAGACAUGUUGUGUCUCAAACAAAUGCCAAUGGUCUUAAAUUAAUUAAUUAUGUGUAUGUUGUGUGUAUGGACUUCCGACAAAGGUAAUGGUGCAUGUGGGAAUGUGUAUUGAAUUAUUGAUCAAGACUUUAUCAAGAAUAUUAUAACCUGGAAAUUAAGUUAAAUAUCAUGUAAAGUGAAAUCAAAUAUAGUGCCUGUUGAUAGGUAAGAUUUGAACGAGCUUUGGAAAAGAAUGCAUAACACGUAGGAUACUUCCAUUGAUUUUAUUAUGAGCAUUAUAUGAGAAGGUAUAGGCAUUCGAUGGGCUUUACUCUUACACCCUGUUGUAUAAAUUUUUGUAGAGAUUUAGUUGUUGGUUCAUGGUGUGGAAGCGUUAUCCAAUGGUGUUCAAAUAAGACAGUUUUUUUUAAAAGAAUAUGUGAACCAAGAGUUGGCUUUGAGGCAAUAUGGAGAUGCUAUGCUGGAAUUUUGUUUAAUUUUGGUGUCAUCAAGUUUUGUAAAUAUUUUGAAAAGGGUUUCGUCUUGAAUUACUUGAUUCAUGUUGUGUUGAUGUUUAUGAAGUUGGUUAUUUGUUAAUUAUGGUUUCAUGAUAGGCAUAACAUUCCAAAUGUUGCUAUGAACUCUAAUAAGUGCUUGAAUGGACUAGACAAGUUAUUUUGAGUGAACAUAAUGUGUUAGUGCCUUAGGAAGCAUGAAAUGAGAGAUUUAGUCACUUUUGGUUAGGUGACUUAUUAAAAAGUAAGUUGUUUAUGCAAAUUUUGACUUUUGAUGCUAGAUUUCUUUAUAAAGUGUUUACUGGCAUUUUGAAGCAUGCUACAAGUGUCUUAUGAUGUGUAUGAAGUGGUUUGAGAAUGUUUAUGUAUGUAUCUAGACCCUACUAAAGUUUAAAGGAAAGUUUGGUAAUUCAUUUAUGCAUGAUCAUAUGAAAUUAUGCGGUUUUUCUGAAAAAGGGUCGAUCCCUUCAAGAAAAGGAUAGGGAUCGAUCCCAAACCUUAUGGAUUGAAAAGGAUCAAUCCCCCAUAAAAAUGGAUUGAUUCCUUCGCUAUGUAUUCACUGAAAAAAAUGGGAAAAUUCAAUUCAUUAAAGGUUCUAAGAGUUCCUAAAUCUUAAUAUGACCUUGAAUGAUUUUGUAUGUUCAAAAUGGUUCAGAAAUUACUUAGUUAAUUAUUACUAGAUUUUAAUUUGGAAAAUGAAGAGAAAUUUUUUGUCUCGUUGUAAAUUACUAAAUCACAUAAGAUGAGAGUUGAUUUCAUGAUUGUUGUUCAUGUGAGACUUUUGAUUAAUUACGAUUAGUCCCUAAGAUUGUAGGUCAGAUGAGACCCUCGAUUGAUGUUUGAUCAAUGUGAAACUUUGCAUGCUUUAAAUUAAGGAUAGUAUAUGAAUAAUAACUAGCCUAAAUUCAUAAAUUAUUUUUGGAUGUUUUGAUUAUGAAAUGAUUAUUUUACCUUGAUGCUCUAGUAGUGUUUUCUUGAAAUGUUCAAUGGUUAAAUGACGUUAGUUUAUUAAAUUUUUAUUGUUGCCAUGAAUUGCAUAUUAUAUGUUCAAUUUUUUUAUUGCUUCCGCUUAGCUUGUAUGGUUUUAUGAUUUUGAUUUGUCCGACAAUUUUGGAACCUAAUGUACAUUCAGGUAUCCGGGUCACCUACAUGGUUGGGUAUGAGUUGUUACAUUUGUUGGUAUCAAAUCCAUGUUAUUUAAAAAUGUGUAUGUAUGUUGGGGUAUAUAAUUGGGAACCAUAUUGCCUCAAAUGUUUUAGAAAAAUUACAUGUUAUUAUUUUAUCACCCGAUAAGCUUCUAACCUUAGUUUUGUUUAAUUGUAUAGCUUUUGUGCUAGUAUAGUUCUAUAUGGCAUCGCAUCAUGCAAUAUUAGGAGCUUCUGAGGAUCGGUGCCCUAUUAGAUAGUGUCAUACGAAUUCUUGAACAGAUGGGUUGCUCAGAUAAUGAGAAGUUGGGAUGUGUAACAUCAUUACUUUAGGGUGAUACACACCGUUGGUGGCCAAUUAUUAAGAGAGGGACCGCAACAAACUGAUUGACUUAGGUGUUCUUUCAGGAGUCGUUUUGAAGGAAGUUUUUAUUUUCUAAGUACACUUAAUCUAUGAAGAAUGAAUUUCUUAAUCUAGUUCAGGGUAGGAUUUCAGUUUCUGAAUAUGAGGCAGAGUUUGUCAGACUUAGUGAGUAUGUUGGUGAGAUUGUGCCGGUUGAGGUUGAGCGGUGUAAGGGAUUCAAGGAUUGGUUGCAGUGUGAGAUUCGUGCCUAUUUGGUGACUGGUUCUUUUAAUGUGUUUGAUAUUAUGGUUCAUCAAGUAAGAGAUAUGGAGAGUACCAUAGGUGAUCCGAGUUGUGAAGUUUAGGGAAGGAUCGAUGUGAUUAUCGACAUAGGCAGACCAACAGAGUUGUUCAGCUAGAUACUGACUAUGCCAGGCAUCCUCAGUGCGCUACUUUUGGCCAGAAUCACGGAGGUACAUAUUCGGCCACAUGAUGGGAGCUAACUUAAAGCUAGCAUUGGAGUCCAUGAGCUAUGGAAACUUGACUAGGACAACUCUAGGACAGCUCAAGAGCAUUUUGGGGCAAAGUUUCCAGCUGACCCCCGAGCACAUAGCUGACUUGAGCUGGACUUUUGAGCUAGCUAAAUAUCUCAUUUCAGC